GACGAAGGGGGGCUAGCGUUGUUCGGAAUUACUGGGCGUAAAGCGCGUGUAGGCGGUUUGCCAAGUCGGGUGUGAAAGCCUUGGGCUUUAACCCAAGAAAUGCACUCGGUACUGGCAGACUAGAGGACCGGAGAGGAUAGUGGAAUUCCCAGUGUAGUGGUGAAAUACGUAGAGAUUGGGAAGAACACCAGUGGCGAAGGCGGCUAUCUGGACGGUUCUGACGCUAAGACGCGAAAGCGUGGGGAGCAAACAGG
rnacentral:rRNA from 1 species